rnacentral:rRNA from 1 species
AGAGUUUGAUCAUGGCUCAGAUUGAACGCUGGCGGCAGGCCUAACACAUGCAAGUCGAGCGGUAGCACAGAGAGCUUGCUCUCGGGUGACGAGCGGCGGACGGGUGAGUAAUGUCUGGGAAACUGCCUGAUGGAGGGGGAUAACUACUGGAAACGGUAGCUAAUACCGCAUAACGUCGCAAGACCAAAGUGGGGGACCUUCGGGCCUCAUGCCAUCAGAUGUGCCCAGAUGGGAUUAGCUAGUAGGUGGGGUAAUGGCUCACCUAGGCGACGAUCCCUAGCUGGUCUGAGAGGAUGACCAGCCACACUGGAACUGAGACACGGUCCAGACUCCUACGGGAGGCAGCAGUGGGGAAUAUUGCACAAUGGGCGCAAGCCUGAUGCAGCCAUGCCGCGUGUAUGAAGAAGGCCUUCGGGUUGUAAAGUACUUUCAGCGAGGAGGAAGGCGUUAAGGUUAAUAACCUUGGCGAUUGACGUUACUCGCAGAAGAAGCACCGGCUAACUCCGUGCCAGCAGCCGCGGUAAUACGGAGGGUGCAAGCGUUAAUCGGAAUUACUGGGCGUAAAGCGCACGCAGGCGGUCUGUCAAGUCGGAUGUGAAAUCCCCGGGCUCAACCUGGGAACUGCAUUCGAAACUGGCAGGCUAGAGUCUUGUAGAGGGGGGUAGAAUUCCAGGUGUAGCGGUGAAAUGCGUAGAGAUCUGGAGGAAUACCGGUGGCGAAGGCGGCCCCCUGGACAAAGACUGACGCUCAGGUGCGAAAGCGUGGGGAGCAAACAGGAUUAGAUACCCUGGUAGUCCACGCCGUAAACGAUGUCGACUUGGAGGUUGUGCCCUUGAGGCGUGGCUUCCGGAGCUAACGCGUUAAGUCGACCGCCUGGGGAGUACGGCCGCAAGGUUAAAACUCAAAUGAAUUGACGGGGGCCCGCACAAGCGGUGGAGCAUGUGGUUUAAUUCGAUGCAACGCGAAGAACCUUACCUACUCUUGACAUCCAGAGAACUUAGCAGAGAUGCUUUGGUGCCUUCGGGAACUCUGAGACAGGUGCUGCAUGGCUGUCGUCAGCUCGUGUUGUGAAAUGUUGGGUUAAGUCCCGCAACGAGCGCAACCCUUAUCCUUUGUUGCCAGCGGUUAGGCCGGGAACUCAAAGGAGACUGCCAGUGAUAAACUGGAGGAAGGUGGGGAUGACGUCAAGUCAUCAUGGCCCUUACGAGUAGGGCUACACACGUGCUACAAUGGCAUAUACAAAGAGAAGCGACCUCGCGAGAGCAAGCGGACCUCAUAAAGUAUGUCGUAGUCCGGAUUGGAGUCUGCAACUCGACUCCAUGAAGUCGGAAUCGCUAGUAAUCGUAGAUCAGAAUGCUACGGUGAAUACGUUCCCGGGCCUUGUACACACCGCCCGUCACACCAUGGGAGUGGGUUGCAAAAGAAGUAGGUAGCUUAACCUUCGGGAGGGCGCUUACCACUUUGUGAUUCAUGACUGGGGUGAAGUCGUAACAAGGUAACCGUAGGGGAACCUGCGGUUGGAUCACCU